CCUACGGGCGGCAGCAGUGAGGAAUAUUGGUCAAUGGGCGGGAGCCUGAACCAGCCAAGUCGCGUGAGGGAAGACGGUCCUACGGAUUGUAAACCUCUUUUGCCGGGGAGCAACGGGGUCCUUGCGAGGGCCCAAUGAGAGUACCCGGAGAAAAAGCAUCGGCUAACUCCGUGCCAGCAGCCGCGGUAAUACGGAGGAUGCGAGCGUUAUCCGGAUUUAUUGGGUUUAAAGGGAGCGUAGGUGGAUUGUUAAGUCAGUUGUGAAAGUUUGCGGCUCAACCGUAAAAUUGCAGUUGAAACUGGCAGUCGUGAGUACAGUAGAGGUGGGCGGAAUUCGUGGUGUAGCGGUGAAAUGCUUAGAUAUCACGAAGAACUCCGAUUGCGAAGGCAGCUCACUGGACUGCAACUGACACUGAGGCUCGAAAGUGUGGGUAUCAAACAGGAUUAGAUACCCCUGUAGUC
rnacentral:rRNA from 1 species